GUAAAUUGUCAGCAUAGAUGUAGUAGUCACUGUUUUAACGGUGAAACCUGUAGUAGGUUUGAUGGAAUCUGUCCCCGGGGAUGUCAGGAUCAAUAUCAAGGACUGCUUUGUGAUUAUCAGGAUAAAACGUCAAGCGGAACAUGGACCCUAGAGUUCUAUAUAUUAAUAGUCCUGAGCAUCAUAUUUGGAUUAUUGAUUUUCUUCUUUCUAAUGCUAAUUAGACGAGGAGUCUUAAAAUUCAAUCCAAGGAAAAUAACACGCCCCUUCUCAAGAGAUGGCGAUGAAACAAAUGUAGGAAAAACUACCACUGAAAAACCAGUUUACGAGGAAUUGAAGGAAAAGGAAAAUAUAAAUCAAUAUCAGGAAUUGCAACCUACAAAACCAGCUUACGAGGAAUUGAAGGAAUUUGAAAAUAUACACCAAUAUCAGGAAUUGCAAACCACAAAUAAAUUUUGAACAGAUUUCUUCAAUGAUGUGAUAAAGACUUUUAAAUAGAGUUUUUAAAU